CGUGCCUCUUUCCCACAUCGACGUCGGCUAUGUCAAGUAACACCACGUGGUGAUUCAUUAAAAUUUAAGAUUAAGAAAUCGCUUUGGGAAUCACAAAAUACAUUGCAAAAGUAAAUCUGGUUUCCCCGGUGAUAUCGUAGUUUAUAAACUCCUUCUACGUCGUAUAUAAUUUCAGUGUUAUCGUGAAGUUUAAGUUGAAAACACUUCUAUAUUUAUCCUACUUAGGAUAUCCAUUUAAAAUGAAAUCGCUCAUUAUUUUUAUUUGUUUAAUCGUUGCUGUUGUAUAUUGUGAACCACAAUCGCAAAAAUAUAUAAGCAGCGAACCUUAUCCUUUAUUGAGAAAUAAAAGAAAUGAUAACCAAGGUGAAUUUGUUAUUGAAAAAGACGGCGAUGAUACUAUUGGAACAUUAACGAUUAACUCGAAAUCCGAACGGUACGAUAUUACUGCUGUAUGGGAGAAAGUUCUGGAUGGACCAAACAAAGACAAACCAAAGUUUAGAUUAAGUGGUUCGUUAGAUUUUUAAAUCUGUGAUAAAAUAAAUUAUUUACUUUUGA